rnacentral:rRNA from 1 species
UGCCUUUAGAUUGGGGACAACAGUUGGAAACGACUGCUAAUACCGAAUGUGCCUUAGGGUGAAAGAUUUAUUGUCUAGAGAUUGGCUCGCGUCAGAUUAGCUAGUUGGAGUGGUAACGGCACACCAAGGCGACGAUCUGUACUUGGUCUGAGAGGAUGACCAGGCACACUGGAACUGAGACACGGUCCAGACUCCUACGGGAGGCAGCAGUGGGGAAUUUUCCGCAAUGGGCGAAAGCCUGACGGAGCAAUACCGCGUGAGGGAGGACGGCUUUUGGGUUGUAAACCUCUUUUAUCAGGGAAGAAUCGAUGACGGUACCUGAUGAAUCAGCAUCGGCUAACUCCGUGCCAGCAGCCGCGGUAAUACGGAGGAUGCAAGCGUUAUCCGGAAUUAUUGGGCGUAAAGCGUCCGUAGGUGGUUUAUCAAGUCUGCUGUCAAAGCGUGCGGCUUAACCGCAUAAGGGCAGUGGAAACUGAUGAACUAGAGUGCGAUAGGGGUAACAGGAAUUCCCAGUGUAGCGGUGAAAUGCGUAGAUAUUGGGAAGAACACCAGCGGCGAAAGCGUGUUACUGGGUCUGCACUGACACUGAGGGACGAAAGCUA